rnacentral:tRNA from 1 species
GAAGGUAUAGCUCAGUGGCUGAGUGCAUGCAUAGCAUGCCUGAGGUCCUGGGUUCAAUCCCCAGGACCUCCA